GUGGGGAAUAUUGGGCAAUGGGCGAAAGCCUGACCCAGCAACGCCGCGUGAAGGAAGAAGGUUUUCGGAUCGUAAACUUCUAUCCUUGGUGAAGAUAAUGACGGUAGCCAAGAAGGAAGCCCCGGCUAACUACGUGCCAGCAGCCGCGGUAAUACGUAGGGGGCAAGCGUUGUCCGGAAUGAUUGGGCGUAAAGGGCGCGUAGGCGGCCCGGUAAGUCUGAAGUGAAAGCCCUGCUUUUAAGGUGGGAAUUGCUUUGGAUACUGUCGGGCUUGAGUGCAGGAGAGGUAAGCGGAAUUCCCGGUGUAGCGGUGAAAUGCGUAGAGAUCGGGAGGAACACCAGUGGCGAAGGCGGCUUACUGGACUGUAACUGACGCUGAGGCGCGAAAGUGUGGGGAGCAAACAGGAUUAGAUACCCGUGUAGUCC
rnacentral:rRNA from 1 species